rnacentral:rRNA from 1 species
GGCCAGGUUGAAGCGUCUUUAAUCGGACGUGGAGGACCGAACCGGUGAACCUUGAGACGUUCUCGGAUGAGCUGUGGGUAGGGGUGAAAGGCCAAUCAAACCCCGUAAUAGCUGGUUCUCCCCGAAAUGUAUUUAGGUGCAGCGUCAUGUGCUGAUCAAGGGGGGUAGAGCACUGAAUGAGCUAGGGGGCAUACCCGCCUACCAAACUCAAUCAAACUCCGAAUACCCUUGAGUGAAACAUGGCAGUAAGACAGUGGGGGAUAAGCUUCAUUGUCGAAAGGGAAAACAACCCAGCUCUGCAGCUAAGGUGCCAAAAUAACGCUCAGUGGAAAGGAAGUGAGAUUUCAUUGACAGUGAGGAUGUUGGCUUAGAAGCAGCCACCAUUUAAACAGUGCGUAAUAGCUGACUCAUCGAGAGAUCUCGCGCCGAAAAUGAUUGGCGAUCAAGCGUUAUACCGAAGCUCAGGAUUGCACGCACUACGGUGUGUGUAGUGGUAGGGGAU